rnacentral:pre_miRNA from 1 species
AGGGGGAGGCCGGAUCCUGGGCUGUGUCCCGGCGCCCUGUGCUCCCGGGCCUGCGCUGUUGGAUUAGCUCUCUAGGCCACGCAGCCGCCU